UGGGGAAUAUUGCACAAUGGGCGCAAGCCUGAUGCAGCCAUGCCGCGUGUGUGAAGAAGGCCUUCGGGUUGUAAAGCACUUUCAGCGAGGAGGAAGGUGGUGAGCUUAAUACGCUCAUCAAUUGACGUUACUCGCAGAAGAAGCACCGGCUAACUCCGUGCCAGCAGCCGCGGUAAUACGGAGGGUGCAAGCGUUAAUCGGAAUUACUGGGCGUAAAGCGCACGCAGGCGGUUUGUUAAGUCAGAUGUGAAAUCCCCGGGCUCAACCUGGGAACUGCAUUUGAAACUGGCAAGCUAGAGUCUCGUAGAGGGGGGUAGAAUUCCAGGUGUAGCGGUGAAAUGCGUAGAGAUCUGGAGGAAUACCGGUGGCGAAGGCGGCCCCCCUGGACGAAGACUGACGCUCAGGUGCGAAAAGCGUGGGGCAGCAAACAGGAUUAGAUACCCUGGUAGUCCAGCGCUGUAAAACGAUGUCGAUUUGGAGGUUGUGCCCCUUGAGGCGUGGCUUCCGGAGCUAACGCGUUAAAUCGACCGCC
rnacentral:rRNA from 1 species